GGAUUGUAGGCUGCAACUCGCCUACAUGAAGUCGGAAUUGCUAGUAAUCGCGGAUCAGCAUGCCGCGGUGAAUACGUUCCCGGGCCUUGUACACACCGCCCGUCACACCAUGGGAGUCGGUAACACCCGAAGCCUGUAGUCUAACCGCAAGGGGGACGCAGUCGAAGGUGGGAUUGAUGACUGGGGUGAAGUCGUAACAAGGUAAC
rnacentral:rRNA from 1 species